UCAUAACAUUAAGGCAUCCGAGAGGGAGGGAAACGACCAUGUGGGACUCCAUUUUCUCCUUCCCUUCGUUUAUAACGUGGGCGACGAGCAGAAGCGGAAGAGGCGCCAUAUUUCAUCCAAUACUUCUUCCUUGUCUACAUUUCCCCAAAGAUGUGCUUUAAGUGUUCAAAGUCAGUUUUCGUCGGUAUUACUUUAAUUAUCUACUAAUCUCAACAAUAGAUUCGUUGAAAGUUGAUUCCAUUUUGGUUUUACUCUAUCGAGGCAUCAAUUGUUUGAUCUCUUUCGAUGAGAAUGUUGAUCUAAGCCAGAUUAAUUUUCAAACUGGUAUUGGUCUUCCAAAACUUCAAAUGAAUUCUUGAAGGUCCUGGUUGAAUUUUAUUCUUGUUUUCACGUAUGAUUUUAAGAAACAUUAGAUUUUAGUCAAAUUUUAAAAAAUUUAGAUGUAUGCUUUUGAUGGCUUUUCUCGAGUUAGUUACGUUUGAAGGGGAAAAUGUUUGCAUAGAAUAGAUGAUAAAGAAUGGAGUGGGAAUUGAUUAGUUUUUUAUAAUACAUUUGUUAAUUUGUACUGUAAAGAAGAUAAGUUGGAGGCUGCAUUUAAGCUGUUGGACGAGGUAGAGUCGUCUUCAGUCUUGGUUGUCUGUUGUGUUCCCCAUAAGGUGAAAUCCGUAUCUCGAGUCUUGCUUAUAUAGUUUCAAUAUCUCCGACCUAGAUACGAGCACGCCGAGCUUUUCAGCGAGAAGCG